GACGAACGCUGGCGGCGUGCUUAACACAUGCAAGUCGAACGAGUGGCGAACAGGUGAGUAACACGUGGGUGACCUGCCCUGCACUUCGGGAUUAGCAUGGGAAACUGGGUCUAAUACCGGAUAGUGUGGUAUGGGGCCCCGGCCUAUCAGCUUGUUGGUGGGGUAAAGGUGACCUCGUCGCGAUCCAUAGCUGGUCGGAGAGGAUGAUCAGCCACACGGGGACUGAGACACGGCCCAGACUCCUACGGGAGGCAGCAGUGGGGAAUAUUGCACAAUGGGCGCAAGCCUGAUACAGCCAUGCCGCGUGUAUGAAGAAGGCCUUCGGGUUGUAAAGUACUUUCAGCGGGGAGGCGUUACCCGCAGAAGAAGCACCGGCUAACUCCGUGCCAGCAGCCGCGGUAAUAC
rnacentral:rRNA from 1 species